CCUUUCUUAUGGCUGAGUAGUGUUCCAUGGUGCACAUAUACAUCUCAGACAAGUGUUUUGCUUCUUUCAUCUACACCCUGGGACCCCGUGACAGUUCCUGCACUUUCAGGAACGGCUUGGUUUGUCUGACUGUGGCCCUGGGACAGCUUCUGACUCUCCAGUCACCUUCAGACUCUCAAAGAAAGAAAGGAGAUGGGUCUUCCGUCCUGGCGACGUUGUCUUGGUUGCGUUUCAGCUGCUGCCGUUGGGCGGAACAGACUUGGUGGCUGCUCUCCAGUGGCAGUGGAGCGACUGUCAGUGGGUGCCGAAGCACCUCACUGUGUCCAGAGCCCUCCCCUGCACUCCUGCAUCCUCACAUCCAGCCCGGGACAUGGAGGAAUGCAGGCAAUUUUCUAUCCUAUUUCCUGGCCAAGGGGCGCUCCUGGAGCUUGGUGCAGUCCCAGAUGCAGGUGGCGUGACAAGACUUGGCAUUCUGUGCUGCGCUCUUCCUGCCAUCCCAGGUCGCGCUCCCUCUGACAUUCUCAUUCCCUUGGACGCUGAUGGUUCCAAGGGAGGCGUCCCUGGCAUUGGUGGCAGGCAGACCCCACUCACCAGCCACAUGACCUUGAGCAAGUUGCUUCAUGUCUCUGUUCCUCAGUGUCCCCAUCUGUGAAAAGGGUAUCUUAAUACCCACCUUGCAGGUGUGAUGAAGAAGAAGGGAGAGUUCCUAGGUCAGAGGCAGUAGCCGAGGGUGAGUGUGACCUGAACUGCCAGGCAAGGCAGAGUCACAGGCUGGGAACUCCCGGCACUGCAGGGCCCUGCCCCAGUCCUGGUGCCCCACAUCUGUCACCUGGAAGUUUGAACCCUGUAGUGUUCCCCAGGCUAAAGCUUUGGAGGAAGUCUGCCUUCACUGUCCCACCGCUUCAAGUUGAACUUGCUUGCCUUGAGUGCUCCAAAAAUAAUCUUUUCAAAAGUUUUCACAAGGAAAACCCAGACUAAGAUUCACAAAGCUGAUAAAGCUCAGAAAACAAAAUGGAAACCACAGCAUCAAAGAAUGAAGUCAUCAAAGAGUGACCAAGGUUCUAAAAUUAAAAAAAAAAAAAAAAAAAA